AGUGCAAUGUGCAGCAAAUUUUGAAAGCCAGUGGCUAAGCUAAAAGCAGCCAGGGUAGAAGUUAGCACUCAAAGGCAGGCAGGCAGGUGGAGUGUGUGCAAGCUCAGUGGCUUCAGUCAAUGGAAUGGGGUUCAGUGAGCUCAGAGCACAGAAUUACAGAGGGAAAGUGACGAGUUGUGAGGCUGGAAGUUUAGUGACCAGCGGUAGAAGACUUUGAGUUGUGCCCCAUGGCUGAUCACACUCGGAUUCCUAUUUUGAAAGAGAUCAAUUUGCCGGCUAUGUGAGAAUAAGCUUGCAAGAUAGAGGAAAAAUGGCGCCUGGGGUGAUGGCUGGGAUUUCCUUGAAAAGGUCUUACUGAAAAAGAGUGCUUCCAGGGAACACUGCUCUUUAAAGAUGAGGGCAAGAGUGUGGGUGUGGGAACAAAGAAACACAAUACGAAAGGGUAACAGAAUAUACUACAGCAAAAUAGGCCUCUUUGGCCUGAGUAUUAUUUUGAGCUGAAAGGCAAGAACAGAUACAAGAAGAGCACUCUACUUAAAAGCAGGACAUAAAUUUGUGUAGCUGUCCCCCUCCUCUGUCUACCAGGAAGGAGAGAUGGUGGUCACUGUAGACAACCCUGGAGCCCUAUCGGCCCAGAGACCAGAGCACCGGAAGAAUCAUAACAAACCCUGUCAAAAAUCAUUACCGUUCAUUACUUUCCCCAUCUUUUUGCCAUCCCCAUUUUGCCUGCUUCCACAAGCUCAAGGUCAUUUUCUUUUGUCACACCCCUACAAAUUUAGUAUUCUUCUGUUUACUAUAGAAGUCCAAAAUCUAACCACCACUCUGAGUUUCUCAAUACUGAGUACCCCCACGUUCAUCUGAGAUGCUGCACAUGCUUAUAAACUGUUCAUUUUAUCUUGUUAACUUUUUAAAAAUCUGAUUUACAGGGUGCCAGCAGGAGAACCUAAGAAAGAAGAGCAAGCAGGCUGUAUCUCAGAGAGCAGAAAAUGAAGUCCAACAGAAGCAGGAGGAAGGCUUGAUCUCUUGAGCAACUCAAAAAAUUGUACAAGCAAAGGAGGAGAAAAUUCUCAUUGCCACAUCAACUCUGUAAGGGAAGGGAUUUCUUUUCUUUCUCUUUGUUCACAUCUGUAUCCAGGUUUGUAUUCCUAAUGCCUGGAACAAUGCCUCAUACUCAGAGGUACCCAAUAAUAUUUGUUAAAUGAAUUCAGCAAUUAUUAAUAAAUGACCUGAAAUAAGAAUCUGAAAACCUCAGUGGUUUCCAGAUCCUGUGGGAUCUCCUGAGAAGAUAUAGAUUUUACUAGCACUAAGAUGAUUCUCUCAACAUGCUCAAAGACCAAAUAUAUCCAAAUGACUCUGGAGAGAGCUUGAAAGGGCUCCCAAAACUCAAAUUUAAACAAAUGGAGAGAAAAAAUAUGGGCAUUGGAUUAUAGUACAUUGAACACAAAUCCAUAAUGAUACUCAAGAAGAAAAAGGGUCAAAAUGUGUUGAAACCUGUUUGUUUUUAUUCUAAAAGGAAGGAGUUUAAAUAAAAAGUACUGAUUGAAUUAGAACAUCUCUACUUUGAAACAUCAGUGUAAUCUUUAGUCCAGCCAUAGAUAUUUCUAAAGACAUUGGGGAAAGUUAUGAGAGAUCAUAAUAUUUAGAUUGUCUCAAAUAUCACCCCACAGGUGACUGGUUUACCACAAAAAGGAAAGACAACUGCACUGGUGCGACCUAGCAGAUUCUAAUCUAACCAAAUGAUCAAACUAGCACUACUGGUAGUAGAAUAUGAUGCUUGCUAUCAUUCAGGGGGAAAUAUAUUUUGCCACUAUAAUCAUUGUCUAAUGUUGCAUGAUAAAUACCUCAGGAAGCUUGUGGUUUAAAACCAUAGCCAUCAUUUAUUCUAUCUCACAUCUCUGUGGGGAAUUCAGGAAGGCUUUGGCUAGGAGCUUCUGGUUUGAAGUCUCUCAUGAGGUUGCAGCCUAUUGUCAGCUGGAGCUAUAAUAAUCUGAAGUCUUGAGGGGGGAUGGAUUAUCCACUUCCAAAAAGCCACACGGCUGGCCAUCUGAGUUGGAAAGUUGGUUGUUUUUGACUUGAGCAUCUUCCCAGGGUGGCUUGAUUGUCUUUCUGGCUUCCCUUUGAUCUAGUGAACCAAGAGCUCCAGGCAGGAGCCAAAAUGCCCUUAUAACCUAGGUCUUAGAGUUACACAUUAUCAUAUCCACAGCAUGCUCUUGGUGACAGGGGCCAGCCCCUGAUUUAACGGGGCAGAGAUUGAACAAUGGCAUGACCAACAGGAGGUGGAGAUCUUCGGGGAUGAUUUAGAGACUUGCUUUCACAGUCACUCAUAAUCUAAUCAACAGGAAAUUGUGAAAAAAGGCAAGAUGCACAACAUUCUGCAAGAUGUUUUCAAAAAAAAAAAAAAAACCGUCAUAGGAGUUACUUUUAAAAGCAGAAUUGUUCUCAAUUAAAAGACACCGAAGAGCAAGGAUAGCCAAAUGUAAUGUAUGAUUACAUGUAUGUUACAUGAGUAACAAACUGAAACAUGUCUAGAAAGUAUGAAAUUAAUCAGCAAAAAGGAAGCACUGAUACGCCCUAUAGGGUGGAUGAUUCUCAAACUAGCCUGAGAGGAAAAAACCUCAGAUACACAAACCGUGUGACUUAAUUUAUAUCAAGUUUAACAUGAAUCUACGGUUGCUUUUGGUGUAAAAAGGAUUGAUUAGGAAGAGGGUAUAUUCUGGGGUCUUAGAAAUGCCUUUGUCUUAGUAGGGGCAUGGAUUAUACAAGUACAUGUGUUUUUCAAAAUUGAACUCCACACUUAAAAUUCAUGUAUUUCACUAUAUGUAAGUAAUAACUCAAACAUUUACUUUAAAAUUGUAUAUCAAUGUUAAAUUACUUGGAUAUAAUAAUAAUACUGUGUUAGAAAAUGCGCUCUAGUGGAUAAAGCAUCAUGAGGUUUGCAACUUGUUUUCAAGGGGUCUGCAGUAGGUGAGAGAUACAUAAAUCAAAUGAGUAGUCAUUGAACAACUGGGAAAUCUAAGUGGAGGAGAGACAGUACUUAUUGUACUUUUUAAGACUUUUCUGUAUGUCUGAAAAAUUCCCAAAUACUAAUCGUGAACAGGGUGUGUCAGCAUAGUGAAAAUAAUUCUCUUAACUCUCAUUUCCUCAAUAGGAAGAAUAGGAAACAAAUUAAUACCACUGCAUAUUUUCCCUUGAGUGUUAUGUGUAAGCAUGCCCAAUUCUUCUGUAUAGUUCUUACAAUGAAAUGUUAAGUUUAGCUAUUCAACUCAUCAUUUUGACAGGGCUAAAAGCUUUUUAAAUCAUAGCUUCAGAAGAACAUUGGUCAAAAGUAUCAGGAGAUAUGGGAUGCCUUGCAGUAAUUUGCUGGGCUACUACUUAGAUUUAAUGAGGUCCUAUCUAACAUUUAUUAGAAAUACACAGUGCUUCUAAACUUACCUAAACUUUUAUUAUUUUUCAAAUCCUUUCAAUAACCUGGAAACAUCUGUUUCCCAAGCUUCUGCACAGACUGAAUUGGUAGAUCAAAUGAUUUGCCAGUUGAUCAACACUAGAUCUGAUUUGCAUUUCAGGAUUGUCAAGCAUGAACGGGGUCCAUGAGCAGGCGAACAGGAUGAGUUGGUGGAGUUACUGCCGUGUCACAGCUUUGCUCACGCGAUUUCUCCUGCCUGGACCACACUCCUCCAGUGAAUUUCCUGUUUGCAAUGGCAGCCAUCACUCAUGCUCACACAUCCAGUCUGUUGCUGCCGGCCCUCCUCCAGCCUCAUCUCACGUGGUCUAAUGUGAACUUCUCUGCAUCUCACCACAAUGACAACCCGGCGUUUGAUGGUGUGUCCCCUCCUGUUGGAAGAUGAGUUUCCUGAGUACAGGGACUGUGUCUUUUUAUCUCUGUAUCUUUAUCACUAGCUCAGGACCUUGAACACCAUGGACUUUCUACAAAUAAUUGUUAAUUAAUGAAUUAAGGAUUAAGAGAGGAAAUGCAUGGUUUGCUCCAAUGAGUACUUAACCUUUCAAAGCAUUCCAAAGGACCUCAAUUGUGUAAGUGUGGAAAGUCUAAUGGAAACAGAAUCUUUGCCUAUGAAUCCAUGAACCAUGAAUCUGUGGAUUUUUUUUUAAUGGUCAGUACCCUGUACCUACCUACCUUCAUCACCACUGGGGCUACCAGUAACACAUCAUGGUAUCAAUUUCAGACUACAAUGCGAGUUUGCCAUCUGCUGGUCAUGUGGGGUAGCACAGUGAAAGUUAUGACAAGGCAUUUUUUAUUUUCUCCAGAAUAUUCUGGAUUAUUAUAAGUAGGAUAGGCUUAGGUUCCAACACAACCAACCAUUUAAGUUUUACUCAAGGGGAAAUCAUUCCCCAUGGAGCAUGAAUGAUUACCCAAGACCAUACAGCUAAUCAGCGAAAGGGUCCAAACUCUAAUCCAAUUUUGAUAAAACUAAUUUUUGUUCUUAAUCGUAAUUCUGGAUGCUAACAGAACACAUCUGGCCAAUAAUGCUGACCUUAACAUUUUCCAAAAGGAAAUGGAACAGCUGAGACUUGUUCCAGGUUUCCUGCCAGGAAUCUCUUACCUCCUUAUGUAAAGCUCCCUGGAUCCCAGAAAGCAGAUCUGCUUUCUGUCCAAGGAUUUCCUGCAUCUGAAAACAGCUGUACAGGAUCAUGAGUAAAAGGCUAGACUUACAAAACUUGGAAUUUCACACCAAAAAGUUAGGCAAAGAUGUGGUGCAGGACGUGCAUUGCAUGCCUUUGGAUUGUGUGCUGUCAGCAAGACUCAGGAUUCAAAACACCACAGACGUUUGUGCUCUGAGCAGUCACGAUCUUUAAAUGGAAAAGCUGACAAACCCUCACGGAAAGAGCCUGGCCCUGCCAUCCUAAUCAGAAUAGACAGGGUCAGGUAGGGAACCUUCCAGAAAGUUCCGUCCUGAACCUGGUGGAACUGGCUACCAGGACUUCCAGUGGGUCCAUAUUUUUAUUUUUUAGCUGCUCCCUGGGACUGGAUUAAACUAUAGUCAUCGUUUGAUUAUGUGGUUUGCAUGGAAACAUGCCUAUUAACAUUCCUGGGAUCACUGCAAAGUCCAAACAAACCAAGUAUCUCAGUACCUGCCAGGAAGUUUCAUGUUUCCCCAGCAGUUCUGAGAACGGAGGACUCCGGGGACUGGACUUCUGAAAGAAAGAUGAUGUGGCUGCCUGAGCUUCUCUCUGGGUGCUUCCCAUGAAUUUCCCCAGAACUCUUGGUUCUGAAUGUGCUUUUCAAAAUGGUCUUUACUCAAAACAGUACUACCAGCUGAUGAACAGGUCCCAGCUGGUCCUUCAAUCCCACAGUUUGGAAAAGUCACACCUUUACUUUAUACAUCUGGGGCAGCUGUUGCCCAGCAAGCAUGCUAAGGAAAACAGUACAGGGUUUUGAAGAGCUGAGAAUCAACUGUGGUUCUAUUUUAGUCUCUUCGGGAUUGGGAGGAAAGAAUUCUUCCUCUUGAAAAUAAGAAACAGCUAAGGGAAAUGUUAAUCUUUUCUGUAAAUCCUCUCUCAUUAUCAUUUUCCCUCCACGUCAACCAGCACAGUGGAGAUGGGUGCUCACUGCUGGCCCACCCACACACAUGAUCUAGAAGGUCAUUCGUUUAAAACUAAACCCGUGCACACCCUUCCCAUCUCAACAGAGUGCUCAUGGCCACAGGUAAUGGCACUGUCUGGAUGUCAGAGUGGUAGAGGACAUGUCUAGGUAUCAGAGACUUCUUGGAGAAGAAAAGAACAACGUUGCUAUUUACUCAGAAUUUCGGUGUGUGGUUUACAUGAGGACUGAGAGGUCCAAAUGAAGCACCCAAAGCCAAAUGAAAGUGCUUUGGCCUUUACUGCUGCCCCUUCAUCCCUCUUGAGAAAGAACUCUGAGUUCUUGGAAACCCUGGACUCCAAACUAUGCUCUGGAUCUACCCCAAUAGCAUAGAGACCCUGCUCAAUGUGAGUGACAAUUCUCCCAUUGCAAGACCUAUGAGGGCCUAAACAGUACUCAGUCGUCUUUGUCAUCGCUUCUUUGAUCCAUACCAAGGAGAUGCAGGGGACUGGAGUGCCUGGUUUCCUCUCACCAGCCCUCCCAUCCAUCAUUCCCUAUCUGCCGACAUAUUUCCCUUUAUUUCCACCUGCUCCUACUUGUAGCUCCAUUGACUCCAAAUUCAUUUUCAUCUCUUCCCCAAUGCACAGUGCUAUUUCAUAGACAUCAAUCAAGAUCAAAGAGUACAAACUAGCCUUGUAGACAAGAUUUGAAACACCAAGUUCAAUAAAGUUACUGACUGGCCUUAAUCCUUUUUUUUUUUUUUUUUUGCACUGUAAGUAUGAUAUGACAGUGGUAUUUUCAUGCUGAAAGUAGCAUACAUACUACAUUCUUGAGAAUUUUCACUUUUACCAGAAAUUUUUGCCUUAUUGAGAAUGUGAUUUAAUUUAGACUUUGCUUAAAUGAUUUCAAAAUACAUUAGUAGCUUGAUUUCAUUCAUAAAGACAAUCUGAAACAUUUGUUUUAAACAAAACAAAAACAGUACUAAUGGUGUUUUAAAAUGUAGGCUGUUGGGGUCAGUGUUGUGGCAUAGUGAGUAAAGCCACUGCCUGCACCACCCGCAUUCCAUAUGGGUGCCAAGUUGUGUCCCAACUGCUCCACUUCCAAUCCAGCUCCCUGCUAAUGGCCUUCAAAAAGCGGUGGAAGAUGGCCCAAGUGCUUGGGCCCCUGAAACCACGUGGGAGACCCGGAGGAAGCUCCUGGCUCAGCCGUGGCCCUCUGGCCACCUGGGUAGUGAACAAGAAGAUGGACAUUCUCCCCCCUCCUACCCCCUCCCGCCAUGUGUGUGUAAUUCUGUCUUUCAAAUAAAUACACCUUUAAAAACAAAAUGUGGGCUCUGGCCCUAGACUUUCUGGGCUCCCAUUUGCCACUGCUGAGCUAGAAGAGUUGUGUAACUUACUCAACCUCUCCAAACCAGUUUCUUUAUUUAUAAAUCCAGGUAACAAUAGAUUUCCUCUAACAAAGUAGUGCAAUUAGAUU